rnacentral:rRNA from 1 species
GUAGGUGGCAAGCGUUGUCCGGAAUUAUUGGGCGUAAAGCGCGCGCAGGCGGUUCUUUAAGUCUGAUGUGAAAGCCCACGGCUCAACCGCGGAGGGUCAUUGGAAACUGGAGAACUUGAGUACAGAAGAGGAAAGCGGAAUUCCACGUGUAGCGGUGAAAUGCGUAGAGAUGUGGAGGAACACCAGUGGCGAAGGCGGCUUUCUGGUCUGUAACUGACGCUGAGGCGCGAAAGCGUGGGGAGCAAACAGGAUUAGAUACCCUGGUAGUCCACACCGUAAACGAUGAGUGCUAAGUGUUAGGGGGGUUUCCGCCCCCCUUAGUGCUGCAGCUAACGCAUUAAGCACUCCGCCUGGGAGUACGGCCGCAAGGCUG